rnacentral:rRNA from 1 species
GACGAACGCUGGAGGCGUGCUUAACACAUGCAAGUCGAACGGAAAGGCCCUGCUUUUGUGGGGUGCUCGAGUGGCGAACGGGUGAGUAACACGUGAGUAACCUGCCCUUGACUUUGGGAUAACUUCAGGAAACUGGGGCUAAUACCGGAUAGGAGCUCCUGCUGCAUGGUGGGGGUUGGAAAGUUUCGGCGGUUGGGGAUGGACUCGCGGCUUAUCAGCUUGUUGGUGGGGUAGUGGCUUACCAAGGCUUUGACGGGUAGCCGGCCUGAGUGGGUGACCGGCCACAUUGGGACUGAGAUACGGCCCAGACUCCUACGGGAGGCAGCAGUGGGGAAUAUUGCACAAUGGGCGGAAGCCUGAUGCAGCAACGCCGCGUGCGGGAUGACGGCCUUCGGGUUGUAAACCGCUUUCGCCUGUGACGAAGCGUGAGUGACGGUAAUGGGUAAAGAAGCACCGGCUAACUACGUG